CUGAGGCACAGACGCGACCACUGGAGGAUGAGUGAACCAGGGGAGCGUUGGAAGACUACUGUGGCGAGGACUGAUCAACAGGGAACGUAUGUGGGUCACUUUGAUAGACAUGAUCGCGAAAUCAGUUAGCCACUGCGGCACGCGGGGACACAAGGACAUCGCGGGGAGCACAGAGACAAGCACUGAGGCACAGGAUUAACCGCAGGGACAUGGGUAGAAAACUAGGACAGGGAUGGGUAACUGAAGCAUGAAGAAGGGCCACAGAGGCACCAUUGAGUGAACCAUUGGAACACGAAGACACCACCGGAACGAGAAAUAAACAGACAAGUCACAGAUGCAAUAAUUGUUAAUCGCACAAAACAUGUGCUAGAUCGGCGUCGCAUGACCCUCCAACACACCCAAAACAAUGUAUAUUAUGCAACUAGGGGUCUAAAAUGGAAAAUGCUGAAAAGUAAAAAUGGCGCCACUAUAAAAACUUGCCUGCGCCACAACGGGCUGGGGCCGACCAUCAGGCCCUACUUUGAAGGCCUGUCGGCGCCACAGGCCAAGACGUAAAAAGCAAACAACAACAAAAAAAAGCUGACUUUGUUGCUAAUGCCAUGUUGUAGGGUUCAUCAGGGCUAACAAAUGUUAUUAUACAAUGUCAUGUCUACAAUGCAUGGGUAAGCCAGGAAAACAACUUGAAGAGAGCAACAACACCAACAACAACGCCGGGAGGGCCUUUGGGGCACAAGGGGUCCAUCGGGGCAUAGGUGGGACCAUUAAAGUAAGAAUGAACCACAAGAAAACAUGGUAAGCCGGGGCAUGAUUGGAGAGUUUUAGCACGGGGGGAAGAAUUCGGUAACGGGUGAAAACUUGGUAACUCGAUAAACACAACGGCACGACGUUCCCGAAGCCUCCCGCAAGCUACCAGUCAUCCCUACAUUGGCACUUUGAACACGGGUGGAUCGCUGACGCUCGUGUUAAUACCGAGGAUUGAACGGUGAGCUAUGGCGCUACUGGAACACCGAGGCACUGAUUGAGGCACUGGGGGAGACACUUUUGGAGACACAGGGGACCAAGGGAUAAUGUGAGAGCAGCGGUUACCGGAAGCUCAGCGGGGAUCGACUGAGCAGUGUUGAAAGGGGUAAACGCUCCUCUGUUCUGGAUGUAGCUGGUGUGUACUGGCUCAUCGGCGAAGAUCAAUAUACAUACUACAGCAACUACACCGAAGAGAUUUGAUACGAUUGACCAUGGAGAAGUUGAAAGCAGGCAUCUUUGACGGUCCUCAGCUCCAUCAGCUCAUCAGAGAUCCAGAGUUUGAAAACUCAAUGAACGAAGUGGAACUGGAAGCGUGGAAGGCUUUUGUUCUUGUCGUGAAGAACUUUAUUGGUUUCCCUGCUGUCCACCUCUUGGAUGACGUACCUGAGCUUGGCAACCACAGCCUCAAUGUCAGCUGUGGAGGCAUCGUGGUGGGUGACAAAGCGCACGGCGUCACAGGCCCAGGGCAGCACCUUCACUACAAUGCUGC